GUCUUUCUGGCUGCUCCCAACUUCCCACUCUACUUCUCCUCCAUCCUAGGGUGCCUCUGCAGCAGCAAAUGUGGCUGUUCAACAGUCUGAAGUCUUUGAUUGUGAACAGUGCUAACCAGCCCUGGGAAAGAAAAGCAGCUCUCUUCCCUGCUCUCCAGGGCUAGCAGAUGAACACUGUGGGGUCGAGCCCAGUCUGGCCAGAGCAAGUCCAGGAAAAGGUGCUUCCCACUCUUCAGGGCACUGCUCAGAUCCCCAAGCAUAAUUUUGGAAACUCUGAUCCAGAACCCUGGAUUGCAGUUACUCAGGAGAGAGCCACCAUGUCAUGACAACACAUGUCAUGAGAAAGCCCUGAGGAGAAGUCUCUGUGGGGAGAAACUGAGACCUGCCACCAACAACUAGAAUCGCCUUGCCAGCCAU
rnacentral:lncRNA from 1 species